CCCUAUUGGGAGCGUUUUACCGCAAGAAUCUUUCAAAUUGGUUCAUUAAUGGCCAAGAUAUAAAUAUUUCAGUGAUGCGAACCCAUGAUUUCAGGAGGCGAGCUCCGCUGUAUAGUGCAGCUCU
rnacentral:lncRNA from 1 species